AUUGAACGCUGGCGGCAUGCCUUACACAUGCAAGUCGAACGGUAACGCGGGGCAACCUGGCGACGAGUGGCGAACGGGUGAGUAAUGCAUCGGAACGUGCCCAGUAGUGGGGGAUAGCCCGGCGAAAGCCGGAUUAAUACCGCAUACGACCUACGGGUGAAAGCGGGGGACCGUAAGGCCUCGCGCUAUUGGAGCGGCCGGUGUCAGAUUAGGUUGUUGGUGAGGUAAAGGCCUACCAAGCCGACGAUCUGUAGCUGGUCUGAGAGGACGACCAGCCACACGGGGACUGAGACACGGCCCAGACUCCUACGGGAGGCAGCAGUGGGGAAUUUUGGACAAUGGGGGAAACCCUGAUCCAGCCAUGCCGCGUGCGGGAAGAAGGCCUUCGGGUUGUAAACCGCUUCUGUCAGGGAAGAAACGCUCUGAGUUAAUACCUCGGGGUAAUGACGGUACCUGAAGAAUAAGCACCGGCUAACUACGUGCCAGCCGCCGCCGUAAGAC
rnacentral:rRNA from 1 species